rnacentral:lncRNA from 12 species
GGAAAGGGCACCGGGCUGGCACACUUAGGAGUAAGGGGUCUGGAAAUUUGGCAGGAAACCUCUUCAGACUGGCAUGUGAUCAGGAGAUGGUCAGGCAGCACCAGAAGAAGGGAGAUGAGCACCCAGGUUUGACUGCUGUGGCUGUAGGCUUCAGCUGCCACACAGCCUGUGAGUCCUGAUGCUGUUUCCUGUGAUAGGUGCCCGGUGCAUGCACCAGUGAGUCCUGCCCUGGGCUGGGCUGCCCGUGUGAGGCUCCUCUGGGGGCUGAUGCUCAGAGGUGAGUGAUACCAGACUGCCCUGCUUCCUCUGAUUCCAGCUCUACCUGACACCAAAUAAAUAUUUUCCUGUGCAAAGGCGAGUAAAGAGCUGUGGCUGAUCCCUAGGAGGGUCAUGGCUGGGGAUGAAACUGGAAUGUUCAUUGGGAGCCUCAGUAAUACCCAAUUCAGAUUGCUGAUGAAUACAUCCUGACUUUGGGCACAUACCUCCUAUUAAUAGUAAUGGGAAUGUCACACAUGAAUGCUGGAGAAUAUUGCCCAUUAUUUUUGGUCUCAGAGCUCUGAGCUGAG